CCUUUUGCCACAUUCUAAUUGGUUGUGCAUGUUGAGGCGGUGUUCUACAAUUUGUGAUGGAACACGUAAGGGUUCAGCACUGCGUCGAGGGUCAACACUAAUUCUCUCUUCUCAAAGGAUGGAUUAAUUUAUGUUAAGUUCCAUGAUGGACAUGGGAAGUGAUCUUGAAGUUCGUGCAAGUGGAGGACUUCUGGCGAUUUUGGAGAAUGAAAGAAUUGUCGAUACCCUUGAGCAAAAGGAAUGUGGGAAUUCAUCAAUCACCAUCGACUCUAUCAUUCAGAUUUCACUAAGCAAUUUUCUCAGACUAGAUGCAGCUGCCCAUGAAGCAUUGCAGAUAUUUCAAAUAGACAAACAUCCAAGCCACAUGGGCAUUGGUAGAGCAAAGGAAGGGUAAUGAAGAAAUACUUGAUAUGUCAUUUUACUGGCCGAAGUCUGAAGAUAUAAACUGAUAUUUUCAAUUACAGGUUCUCGGUUUUUCGCAGGAUGAACAAGGUCAGUGAAAGCCUGUCUUCUUUAUUGGAAAUAUUAAUAUGGAACUGAACCAUGAUCUCGAUCCAGUGUGUGACGCUAAUGGGUAGACGGCUCUUGAGGUAAAUUUUGUUCAUGAGAUUGUAGCACUCUUCUUUCAUGAGCGACAUCUGACUUGAGGUUCUGACUAAUGGCUCUUGUCACUUUAGAAGUUGGUUCCUGAGGCCCAUACUCGACCUUGAGCAUUUGAACAAUUGUCUGAAUUUUGUAUCCUACA